rnacentral:rRNA from 1 species
GGGGGGGGGGUGCUAUACAUGCAGUCGAGCGAACAGAGAAGGAGCUUGCUCCCUUUGACGUUAGCGGCGGACGGGUGAGUAACACGUGGGCAACCUACCUUAUAGUUUGGGAUAACUCCGGGAAACCGGGGCUAAUACCGAAUAAUCUGUUUCACCUCAUGGUGAAAUAUUGAAAGACGGUUUCGGCUGUCGCUAUAGGAUGGGCCCGCGGCGCAUUAGCUAGUUGGUGAGGUAACGGCUCACCAAGGCGACGAUGCGUAGCCGACCUGAGAGGGUGAUCGGCCACACUGGGACUGAGACACGGCCCAGACUCCUACGGGAGGCAGCAGUAGGGAAUCUUCCACAAUGGGCGAAAGCCUGAUGGAGCAACGCCGCGUGAGUGAAGAAGGAUUUCGGUUCGUAAAACUCUGUUGUAAGGGAAGAACAAGUACAGUAGUAACUGGCUGUACCUUGACGGUACCUUAUUAGAAAGCCACGGCUAACUACGUGCCAGCCGCCCGGGGGUAAAUACAA